CAUACGAGGUUACGUCAUACGAAGAAUUGGUAUGUUAAGUUUUACCAGUUCAUCGUCUGACGUUUAACUUCCUAUG
rnacentral:pre_miRNA from 1 species